CCUACGGGAGGCAGUAGUGGGGGAUAUUGCACAAUGGGGGGAACCCUGAUGCAGCGACGCCGCGUGGGUGAAGAAGCGCCUCGGCGCGUAAAGCCCUGUCAGCAGGGAAGAAACUGACGGUACCUGACGAAGAAGCCCCGGCUAACUACGUGCCAGCAGCCGCGGUAAUACGUAGGGGGCAAGCGUUAUCCGGAUUUACUGGUGGUAAAGGGGGCGCAGACGGCGAUGCAAGCCAGGAGUGAAAGCCCGGGGCCCAACCCCGGGACUGCUCUUGGAACUGCGUGGCUGGAGUGCAGGAGGGGCAGGCGGAAUUCCUGGUGUAGCGGUGAAAUGCGUAGAUAUCAGGAGGAACACCGGUGGCGAAGGCGGCCUGCUGGACUGCAACUGACGUUGAGGCCCGAAAGCGUGGGGAGCAAACAGGAUUAGAUACCCGUGUAGUC
rnacentral:rRNA from 1 species